rnacentral:rRNA from 1 species
GACAGAGGGUGCAAACGUUGUUCGGAAUUACUGGGCGUAAAGCGUGCGCAGGCGGCUUUGCAAGACAGAUGUGAAAUCCCCGGGCUUAACCUGGGAACUGCAUUUGUGACUGCAUGGCUGGAGUGCGGCAGAGGGGGAUGGAAUUCCGCGUGUAGCAGUGAAAUGCGUAGAUAUCAGGAGGAACACCGGUGGCGAAGGCGGGUCUCUGGGCAGUAACUGACACUGAGGCACGAAGGCCAGGGGAGCAAACGGG